rnacentral:lncRNA from 1 species
UCUUUUUAACAUAAGUGUAUCCCACAUAUGAGCAUGGGAUGUAGUUAUGUACAAAGUUUAUCUGACAUUCAAAGUUAGCAGGGUGUCCUGUGUAAGUGAAGUGAAAGUUAGCGCACAGUUGUGUCCGCCUCUUUGCAAUCCCAUGGACUAUAGCCCCCCAGGCUCCUCUGUCCCUGGAAUUCUCCAGGCAGUAAUACUGGAGUGGGUUGCCAUUUCCUUCUCCAGGGGAUCUUCCUGACCCGGGGAUUGAACCCGGGUCUCCUGCACUGCAGGCAGAUUCUUUACCACCAGAGCCACUAGGGAAGCCAAUAUUCCCUACAUGUAGUUUUGUACGAAGUUAGUUAGCAGGGCGUCCUGUAUUUUUGCUAAAUGUGGUCAUGCAUACAUGCAUGCUAAGUCGCUUAGUUGUGUCCAACUCUUAGGGACCCCACGGACUGUAGUCUGCCAGGCUCCUCUGUCCAUGGGAUUCUCCAGGCAAGAAUACUAGUCACUCUGGCCCAAAGGAAUUGUUUGGGAUGCCACGUGCCUCAGUUUCCCCAGGGCUCUCUGAUAACAGCAAUCACGUGCAUCCAGCUCUGUCCUAAUAUUUUGCAGGCAUGGCGGGGUCUCCACAUGAGCCACCUGCCCAGUGACAUGGUUGGGGGAGUUGGGCUUUGAACCCAAAAUUCACAGCUAGAGGGGGACUUGCUGACUCUUCCUCGGCUUUGGAUGUCCCUCUGGGAGCCUGGACUUCCAACCUGUCUUUGGUUUCUGCGCCUAACAGGGAACUCACUCCUACCUGGGAUUCGCCAGAGCCAGAGGAGAGAAUUCCCUCCUGGGCCUGGAGGCUGGACCAUGGAUCUCCAUCCAAGUUUGAGGGCUUUGGCAUGGACCUUGGAAGAGCUCAAUCUGGACAAGGGAGAUGGGGUCCCCCAGGGCCAAUCCCCAGCCCCACGGCGCCCGUUCCCCUCAUCCCACCCACCUCCCAACCCCAGCUGCUCCAGCUGUAACGGCUGUAGCCAAGGCUGUCGCAAGAAGCAACGUUCUCCUGGCUUGGAGCAAGGCUCGGGGCGGGAACCAACGGAUCCAUCUGAGGAAGAGGUUCCCCACUUUGUUGAGUUAAAGCUACCAUAGAGCACUUGGUAAGCACCUGCUGUAUACAUAACCCAGUUUCCAUCAGGGCUAGGGAGAAUUGAGGAGGCUGUGUCUCAGGUGGGGAGACCAGAUUUAAACAAAGUUGGAUCUUUUGAGGACCACCUGCAUGCUACAUCCUCACAGGUUGCGAUGGCUAAACUUGUGGACUCCAGGGGACUUGCCCACUGUGACUUCAGGCCCUCUCCAAGCCUCAGUUUCCUCAUCUGUAAAAUGGAAGCUGUAGGUUCCCAUUUCACGAGAUUGUCCCACGGAUUAAAUGAAUGGACUUGUAUGAAGUUCUUAGAUAAGAAAGUGCCGUCCUUGAGGGUUUGUUAACCAUUAACCCUCUCCCAGAGGGUAUGGUGAUGAUCCUCUUGGGGGUGUUCUGGUUCCCAUCAGAGUAGUGAUGCCACGUGGAGCAUCUCAC